rnacentral:rRNA from 1 species
AAUAGAUACCCUGGUAGUCCACGCCGUAAACGGUGGGCACUAGGUGUGGGCGACAUUCCACGUCGUCCGUGCCGCAGCUAACGCAUUAAGUGCCCCGCCUGGGGAGUACGGCCGCAAGGCUAAAACUCAAAGGAAUUGACGGGGGCCCGCACAAGCGGCGGAGCAUGUGGCUUAAUUCGACGCAACGCGAAGAACCUUACCAAGGCUUGACAUACACCGGAAACGUCCAGAGAUGGGCGCCCCCUUGUGGUCGGUGUACAGGUGGUGCAUGGCUGUCGUCAGCUCGUGUCGUGAGGUGCUGGGUUAAGUCCCGCAACGAGCGCAACCCUUGUCCCGUGUUGCCAGCAGGCCCUUGUGGUGCUGGGGACUCACGGGAGACCGCCGGGGUCAACUCGGAGGAAGGUGGGGACGACGUCAAGUCAUCAUGCCCCUUAUGUCUUGGGCUGCACACGUGCUACAAUGGCCGGUACAAUGAGCUGCGAUACCGCGAGGUGGAGCGAAUCUCAAAAAGCCGGUCUCAGUUCGGAGUUGGGGU